rnacentral:rRNA from 1 species
GAUCAACGCUGGCGGCGUGCAUGAGACAUGCAAGUCGAACGGACACUCAGGGCUUGCUCUGUGUGUUAGUGGCGGACGGCUGAGUAACGCGUAGGUGACCUGCCCCGAAGUGGGGAAUAACUGCCCGAAAGGGUGGCUAAUACCGCAUGUGGUGAUGCGUUCGUUCGCAUCAGUAAAGCCGCAAGGCGCUUCGGGAGGGGCCUGCGUCCGAUUAGCUCGUUGGUGGGGUAACGGCUCACCAAGGCGACGAUCGGUAGGUGGUCUGAGAGGACGAUCACCCAGACUGGGACUGAGACACGGCCCAGACUCCUACGGGAGGCAGCAGUCGGGAAUUUUGCGCAAUGGACGAAAGUCUGACGCAGCAACGCCGCGUGAGGGAUGACGGCCUUCGGGUUGUAAACCUCUUUUGUCAGGGGCGAUGAUGACGGUACCUGACGAAUAAGCCACGGCUAACUACGUGCCAGCAGCCGCGGUAAUAC